UUUUUGUCCUCGCAUCUAUUUAGGGGUCCUCCUAAAGUGGGGAAAGGAAGGGGCCUGAGGCUGUUAGGAAUGGUGGGAGUUGAAGUCCAAGACAUCUGGAGGCCCCAGGUUUGCCCAGGCCAGCCACAACCCUCUUCUAUCCCACUCGCUAUUUCCCAGACCAGUCUACUUCUUGCCCAUGCCCGGUGUAGAUGCAGCCUCAGCUCUGGCGCUCUUGACCCAGAUGGCACCAGAAAGGCGUGGUGUUGACACAAGCAUAGAAAGGCGCGCCUGCCUUGCCCAGGUCCAAAGUUUAUGCAAAGUUCUGCAAGUCCUCCUUAGUGAUUUACAUUAUAGCCUUUUGAAGCAGGAGAGUGGCUUGGAGUGUCAAGCGAAGCCUUUUCCUUGGGUCCGCUGUGGUUUCUUAAGCAGCAGCCAAACAGAGCCCAAAAGACCCAGCAGGAGCCUUCUCAUUCAGCUUUUCCUGCUCUGGCCUCCUCUCCUCCCUUGGCGCAUUCGCUUUCCCCGGACUUUUCAAAGUGCUCAGACUCCCUCUAGUGGAAGAUAGUGAGAUCGCACUUUACCUAGACAUUUCUUAAUAAAUGUCUUGGUAAAGGAAAUAGUGCCUGGGGGAGUCCAUCUACUCUGUAGAAUUAGUACAGUUUGGCACCACUUCAGCUUAUUUAUUUAUCGUGUCAAAAGCAAGCUGAGAAUACAAUUAUAAUGUAUAGAAAAACCACAAACAAAGCUAAAAACUUGACAUUAUGCUAAAUAUCCUUUGACCAGAAACUGUCACUGUGAGAAGGACCUCCAUUGUGUAUGUGACAGGGCUCAGAUCGCAUUGCAGUAAGUGGUCUGUGGUUUGCUCUUCUCCACACUUGCAUGUUGUGGACUCCACUUGGUAGCCCAUUUCUUAAGAUUAGCUUUGCAUCUCGUAGCACCAGAGUGUGGUCUCUUCUGCGCCUUCAAUGUGUGCCCAGGAGGGAGUUUCUCAUCCAGUGUCAGCCACUGAUUGAGGUUUCAGAUUUUAACCUGCCACUUUUGGACUCUCGCUUGCUGAGGUGUUCCUAUGAGUAUCUCAGUACAUCUUAAGAAGCUAUUUCUUGAUUUAAGGUAUUGGCUUGCUGGCUGAUAUCCGAACAGAGGAUGGGUCAGAGAUGUCACUGCCUUGGUCCUUUCAUUACUGACUGCUACUUCCUGAUGAAUGUCAAGUGCUGUAAUCCCAGCUAAACAGUAUAAUUUCUCCAGCAGUGUAGGGCAUAGACAUCUUGUGAUAAUGCAGCAUGCCUCAUUAAAAGUCACAUCCACUGUUUUAAUAUGGUGAGAUGUAUUUCAUACUGGGUACGCCCAGAGUCCCUUUGGGGAGAUAGAGUGGAAUAUAAAUAAAGUUUUAUUAUUAUAGUUUUAUUAUAUUAUGCAUACUCAGCAGCAGAGUAGCAAAGCUCCAGCGCAGAUGUCUUCACUGUGUCUGGUUGUGAUUCCCAGGUUGUGCCAAUCAGCUUUCGUAUGAUAUUAUUUCUGGUACCCACUUUUUGCUUGAUAUUCAAGUAGUGCUUCUUGUAAGUCAGAGCACGGUCCAGGUACUUUGCUGUGCUGCAAUGCUCCAGUGGGAUUCCUUCCCAGGUAAUCCUCCGAGCUUGGGAUGCUUGUCUGAUCUUAAGGUGAAAGCACACAUCUGCAUUUUAGAUGGGUUAGGAAUCUGCUGGUUUUUCCUGUAAUAGGCAGUAAGAGUGCCUAAUACUUCAGAGAGCUUCUGUUCAACCAUGUCAAAGCUCCCUACUUGAGCAGUGAUGGCAUGAUCGUCAGCAUAGAUGAAAUUCUUUGUACCUUCUGGCAGUGGCUGAUCCUUUGUGUAAGUAUUGAACAUUGAAGGACAGCCACUGUCCAGGCAGCCUGAUUCCUAAGCAUCUCUCAUCUGCCCAGUGGCACUUCAGAGCUUCUGAGGGCAGCAUUGGUGAACGGGACAAAGCAUGACAAUGGGGGGGGGGGCAGCUAGAGAGGAAUCCCACUUGAGAGUGCAGAAGAGGAGGUGGCAUUUGUAUAAGUGUUAAAACACUUCAGCUGUCAUGGCUCAAUGCUAUAGAAUUCUAGGAAUUGUAGUUUGGUAAGGCAAGAGCACCCUUUGGCAGAGAAGGCUAAAGUUUUGUAAAACUAUAACUCUCAGGACCCCAUAGUUUUGAGCCGUGUCAAUUGAAGUGGUGUCAAACUGUAUUCAUGUCAGUGUAGGUCAGGCAUGGGCAAACUUCUGUUAGGAAUUGUGGGAGUUGAAGUCCAAAACACCUGGAGGGCUGAAGUUUGCCCAUGCCUGGUGUAGAUGCACCCAUAGGUUAGCUUUUGAGAGAAUACUUAAAUUCAAGGCUGGGUUAACUAUUAAGCAAAAUAAACAUGCUCUUUGGGCCUCAAAAGAAAUAGGAGCAGCAAAGAAAUUUUCAAUUGCCAGAUAUAUAUAUAGAUAUAGAUAUAGAUAUAUAUCCCACUUAGGAGCCCCUGAUGGCACAGUAGGUUGAGCUGCUAAAAUUGCUGAUCAAAAGGUCGCAGGUUCAAAUCCAGAGAGCUGCGUGAGCUCCCACUGUUAGCCCCAGCUACUGCCAACCUAGCAGUUUGAAAACAUGCAAAUGUGAGUAGAUCAAUAGGUCCCACUCCAGCAGGUAGGUAACGGUGCUCCAUGCAGUCAUGCUAGCCACAUGAUCUUGGAGGUGUCUAUGAACAACGCUGGCUCUUCGGCUUAGAAAUGGAGAUGAGUACCAACCCCCAGAGUCGGACACGACUGAACUUAAUGUCAGGGGAAAACCUUUAGCUUAUAUCCUGCUUUGUAAUUGAGACACAAAAUGUCUCACAACAAUAAGUAAAUCCAUACAAUUUUAGAAUAUCGAUCGUAUAAAUAUUAAAAUAUGAUUAAGCAUACAAAAUUGGUUAAAACUUGGAUUAAUAAAUGGUGCAAAACAGCAAAUGCUGCAGCUGAACCAAGCCUCGCAAAAAGGAUCUCUCACAUAGUAGAAAACUUUUCAAAUGUAAUUCAAUUGGAAAUAUUAUUUUUAAAAAACCAUUAUUUUCCAGCUUAUAAAUUUCCAUGUUAUGGUUUCUAAUUGUUUAUAUUUUGAAUUAGAUAAAUAUGGAAGCAUCAAAGUGCUUAGGGCCUCUAAAGGUCUUAAUCCAUCCCUACCUGAAUUCAUGUCUGUGGGAACAUAAGGAGUGGAAUGAAUCACUCUAGAGUGUAGUGUGGUCUCAUCACAGCAGUGGGGGAAACCAUGUGACCCAGGAGAUGUUGGUCUGCAAGGCCCAGUUGCCCUGGCUAACUUUCCCAGUGGUGAUUGCAGUCUCAUAUAGACAAAUAUGGAGCAAUGCUAACAUUUGUAAAAGAUGAGAGGAAGGACUUGGUCUAUUUUAAGAGAAAUCUUUUCCCAAGAUUUAUGGUAAUAAAUAUGUCCUAUUACAUCUGAUUCCUGUUGAUGUCCUGCAAAGAAUUUUCAAGCAGAGCCUGAGGUUGGUGUCAUAUUUCAGGAUAUAGUUUCUGGAAAUGAGGACAAGUCAGACUGUUGUGAAAAAUACAGCAGAGACUUGUGACACCUUCAGGGCUGUUAUGAUCAAGUCACUCGUAGCCCGCAUCACCUCCUCGCAGGAAAGGAAAGAGAAACAUUCACCUUGAAAGCACCAGGCACUUGAAGAGUCUUUUAGGACUUUGCAGACAUCAGGACAUCUUAUGCUUUGAAAUCCGUUUUUGAUCCCCUAAAGCUGUUGCUGAAGAAGAGAGCCUUAGGAAAGCAGCUUGAGAACCAUGGUUUGAAAAUUAAUUAUUGCAUAGCAUGGCUAAUAGUUAUAAAUCCUUUCAUAUUUUAUUUCAAACACUAUACACUUAUACACUUGUAAUAAAAGAAUAAACUAUUAACCUUUU